GGUGACAACUAAAUAUUGGAACAUGUGUUGUUUUUCCUCACAUUUAUUCAGUUUUAUAAGCCUGACGCAAACAUGGCUUUUAAAAAACACGAGUAAGUAGUGCGUUGUCAACAAUAAUAAUUUUGAAGUGUGACUUGACUAUUGAUAAUUAAUUAUCACUAUCACUUUUAUCACAAGUAAAAUACAAUAAUGACUCGUGGAAAACCUACUGAUAUAAAAGUGCGAGAAAUUAUUACGCGGCAGUACCAUAAAGAGAAAACCAUGCGUACCUAAAAUUUCCAGUAAAUUAAAUGUUGCAAACAACUACUGUAUUCAAUAUAAUUGAAAAACGAGGUGAAGCUGCCACUAUUGGUGUUCGCGACUAAAGUUCAGGACGUCAAAAGUGGUUUCUCAAAGGAAUGUAAGGAAUUUGAUUUAAAUUUGUAAUUUGGAAAGAAGAAGGUGGAACAGAGAAAGUGGGAUGAAUGUUUCCAGAAAAUGCUAUCGCCAAUGUAUCAGCAAGAGCGGUUUUAAUUUUAUAGGGCCAAAGAAAAACCAUUGUUUCCAACAAAAGGAAUCGAUCGAAACAAAGGAAUCGUCAAAUCAAGACUCUCGUGGACCAAAGAAAAUUAGAGCAAAGUUAUUUAUAGCGACGAAUGCAAAUCUGAUGUCUGUGUCGGAGAUUACCGAAAGAGUGUGAUUCGGGAUAGAGUCAAAGUUUCCAGUGGAAAAGUUUUUUUUUGGUGUGUAUGUCAGUUAAAGGGUUGGAAACGUUACACUUUAUUGAUAGCAUAGUAAAUUCAGAAAAAUAUCAAGACAUUCUCGCACAUUCGCUUUUACCAAGUGCAGCAAAUUUAUAUCCAUCUGAAAAUUUUAUUUUUCAACGGGUUGAUGCUUCAUGCCAAACUGCUAGAUCUACGAAAAAAUGGAUGGGGGAACAUAACAUUAAAGCUUUGUCACAUCCUUCUAGCAGCCCCGAUCUUAAUCCAAUCGAAACACCUUGGCACAAAAUGAAGCAACGCCUAAGAAAUAAUCCGCACCGUACUUUGCUAUAGCUACGUGCUAAGCUACAGGAACUAUGGAAUAGUUUCACCCCUGAAUUUUAUGAAGGUCUAGUUGGUACAAUGCCUGAUAGAGUUCAGGCUGUUAUUCAAGCUAAGGGCAACAUUACGCCUCACUAAUUUUUCUUUUUCUUUUUUAAAACUCACUUAGUCCAAUAUUUAUGUGUCAGCAUUUUUCGAUUAUUUACUAAGCAGUUAAAUACUAAAUAACUAAAAAAUUUAAUCUUUACAAUAAAAAAAAUAGAAUAAAAGAUUUUCACUAAA